rnacentral:rRNA from 1 species
UUUUAUUUGCCAGUUUGGCCCUGGGACAGUGCUCAAAAUCCUCAUGUAUUACGUGUAUGCUCCGGUUUAUAUCCAGACUGUCUGUAAUAAUUACGCCUAAUGACCACGCUCUAAGUCUUACUGUAUAAAGCCUGUUUGUAAUGCGGCUUACGAUGCUAUCAAGCUACAAUUUUGUUUGCAUCGGACAAGGAAUAGAAUAAAUACCAUCGGGAUGGGCGAGUAAGAAAAGAGAGCGUUUUAUCGUGUUAACUUUCGGGGGACAGACUGAACAGAUUACGUCGCUGAGUAUCCUUACGACCUUUAUAUUAUUACUGAAAGCGCGGCAUUGCCGCGUAUAUUAUUACUGAAAGCGCGGCAUUGGCAUUGCCGCGCCUGCAUGUAUCAUUUAGAAAGCGCAAUGAUACCCAUCGUCAACCCUGCUACCGCCGCAGCGCCGCCAGCAAUAGCGCCUGCUGUCUCCCAGUUAUCCUGCGUAGUACCUUUCAUACAUGUAUUGGUAUGAACCAGCCGCCCUUGCUCGUCAUAAACCGGUACGCAGGGAGAAUCAUGUGCACAACCUGCCAAUAAGGUGGUAAGCAAUGCAACUGGAAUUAGUCUUUUCAUGGUGUUACCUCAUUAAUCAGCGUUUCGCGAAGUACAGCAACGUAAAUGCUGGCUCUAACCGCUGCGAAAACGAGAGUUAUUUUACCACCACAGAAAAAAUGGCCGACAUGAGGAAUCAUCUCAAUUCAUGUGAAUUGUAAAAACUAUGGAGAAUGCAGAGGUAAGCGGAGAGGGGAAUAGCGGAGAUAAAGAUGUACCGUUUAAAAAGGCGUCCGAAGACGCCUCUGUUUAC